CAGCCGCCACGGUAAUACGAAGGGGGCUAGCGUUGUUCGGAAUCACUGGGCGUAAAGCGCACGUAGGCGGAUCUUUAAGUCAGGGGUGAAAUCCCGAGGCUCAACCUCGGAACUGCCUUUGAUACUGGGGAUCUCGAGUCCGGGAGAGGUGAGUGGAACUGCGAGUGUAGAGGUGAAAUUCGUAGAUAUUCGCAAGAACACCAGUGGCGAAGGCGGCUCACUGGCUCGAUACUGACGCUGAGGUGCGAAAGCGUGGGGAGCAAACAGGAUUAGAUACCCCAGUAGUCCCUGUCUCUUAUAC
rnacentral:rRNA from 1 species